UACGUAGGGGGCAAGCGUUAUCCGGAUUUACUGGGUGUAAAGGGAGCGUAGACGGUUUUGUAAGUCUGAUGUGAAAACCCAUGGCUCAACCGUGGGAGUGCAUUGGAAACUAUAGGACUAGAGUGUCGGAGAGGUAAGUGGAAUUCCUAGUGUAGCGGUGAAAUGCGUAGAUAUUAGGAGGAACACCAGUGGCGAAGGCGGCUUACUGGACGAUGACUGACGUUGAGGCUCGAAAGCGUGGGGAGCAAACA
rnacentral:rRNA from 1 species